rnacentral:rRNA from 1 species
GACAUUAGAUACCCCUGUAGUCCCAGCCGUAAACUAUGCGCGUUAGGUGUACUGGUGACCACGAGUCACCGGGGUGCCGAAGGGAAACCGUGAAACGUGCCGCCUGGGAAGUACGGUCGCAAGGCUGAAACUUAAAGGAAUUGGCGGGGAGCACCACAACGGGUGGAGCCUGCGGUUUAAUUGGACUCAACGCCGGAAAUACUCACCGGAUAGGACAGACAUAUGAUAGUCGGGCUGAAGACUCUACUUGAUGAUCUG